CCUCCGAUGAAGUCAAAAAGCCAAUGUAUUUGCUUUCAACUAUCUUUGCGUCUUGGCAUUUCACCAGGGAGAGGAGGUACACCGAACACCCAAUCAAGGACAUUAAGGUACUUGGACCGGAACACUUCCCUUUCCCGUGCGUAGCAGUGCAUGAUUAUAGCUGUUGAGACACUGAAGAUCAACACAUCAGCUCUCUUCAGAUUCUUUGACUGCGGCAAAUAUCCAACAUCGGCCAUACAUGUAAAGAAGCUU
rnacentral:misc_RNA from 1 species